AACCUGCCUUAUAGUGGGGGAUAGCCUUUCGAAAGGAAGAUUAAUACCGCAUAAGAUUGUAGUAUCGCAUGAUAUAGCAAUUAAAGGAGCAAUCCGCUAUAAGAUGGACCCGCGUCGCAUUAGCUAGUUGGUGAGGUAAUGGCUCACCAAGGCGACGAUGCGUAGCCGACCUGAGAGGGUGAUCGGCCACAUUGGGACUGAGACACGGCCCAGACUCCUACGGGAGGCAGCAUG
rnacentral:rRNA from 1 species